GUAUUGUAUUGCGUUAAACGCGACAUACAUUCCAUGAGACUUUGCUACGGUGUGUGUGUAAAGACAUAGGACCACGGCAGGAGGACAGAGCCCCCCAGGCCAUAGAACUACAGAGGGUGCACAGGUGUGAGUGGAUGUGUAAACAGAGCGUGCACAUGCCCCCAUACAGGGACCAGCAACAACUCUUGUUGACAAUUCAGUAAUGAUCCUUCCGCAGGUUCACCUACGGAAA
rnacentral:misc_RNA from 1 species